GGGGGAGUAUGGUUGCAAGGCUGAAACAUAAAGGAAUUGAUGGAAGGGCACCACCAGGAGUGGAGCCUGCAGCCUUAUUUGACUCAACACGGGGAAACAUACAAGGUCCAAACAUAUUAAGGAUUGACAGACUGAGAGAUCUUUCUUGAUUCUACUGGUGGUAGUGCAUGGCCGUUCUUAGUUGGUGAAGCGAUUUGUCUAGUUAAUUCCGUUAAUGAAUGAAACCUCAUCCUGCAAACCAGCUAUGCAGAGGUAUCCCUUCACGGCCAACUUCUUAGAGGGACUACGGCCUUUUAGGCCGCGGAUGUUUGAGGCAAUAACAGGUCUGUGAUGCCCUUAGAUGUUAUGGGCCGCACGCGCUCUACACUGAUUAUUCAACGAGCUUAUAGCCUUGGCCAACAGGCCCGGGUAAUCUUUGAAAUUUCAUCGUGAUAGGGAUACAUCAUUGCAUUUAUUGGUUUUCAACGAGGAAUUCCUAGUAAGCGCGAGUCAUCAGCUCGCGUUAACUACGUCCCUGCCCUUUGUACACACCGCCCGUCGCUCCUACCGAUUGAAUGAUUUAGUGAAAUGUUCGGAUCGCAGUGACAUGGGCAGUUCGCUGCACACAAAGUUGUGAGAAGUCCAUUGAACCUUAUCAUUUAGAGGAAGGAGAAGUCGUAACAAGGUUUCCAUAGGUGAACCUGUGAAAA
rnacentral:ncRNA from 1 species